rnacentral:rRNA from 1 species
AGUGAACGCUGGCGGUAGGCCUAACACAUGCAAGUCGAACGGCAGCACAGUAAGAGCUUGCUCUUACGGGUGGCGAGUGGCGGACGGGUGAGGGGUACCUCCGAAUCUACUUUUUCGAGGGGGCUAACGUAGGGAAACUUACGCUAAUACCGCAUACGACCUACGGGUGGAAUCAGGGGAUCUUCGGCCCUUGCGCGAUUGUAUGUGCCGAUGUCGGAUUAGCUAGUUGGCGGGGUAAAGGCCCACCAAGGCGACGAUCCGUAGCUGGUCUGAGAGGAUGAUCAGCCACACGGGAACUGAGACACGGUCCAGACUCCUACGGGAGGCAGCAGUGGGGAAUAUUGGACAAUGGGCGAAAGCCUGAUCCAGCCAUGCCGCGUGGGUGAAGAAGGUCUUCGGAUUGUAAAGCCCUUUUGGUGGGGAAGAAAAGCAGUAGGUUAAUACCCCGCUGUUCUGACGUUACCCAAAGAAUAAGCACCGGCUAACUUCGUG